GAUGAACGCUGGCGGCACGCCUAACACAUGCAAGUCGAACGGAGUUUUGGGAGCUUGCUCUUAAAACUUAGUGGCGGACGGGUGAGUAACACGUGAGCAACCUGCCUUUCAGAGAGGGAUAGCUUCUGGAAACGGAUGGUAAUACCUCAUAACGUACAUUUGCGGCAUCACAGGUGUAUCAAAGAUUUAUCGCUGAAAGAUGGGCUCGCGUCUGAUUAGCUAGUUGGUGAGGUAACGGCCCACCAAGGCAACGAUCAGUAGCCGGACUGAGAGGUUGAACGGCCACAUUGGGACUGAGACACGGCCCAG
rnacentral:rRNA from 1 species